AAAUUGUUCAGGCUUUUGUGCAUCUGCCUGUCCAGUCCCUGCUCCCUCCUUCGUCCCUCUCCCAGCAGCACCCCUAUUCUGCCUUGCUGCCUUCCCUUUGGUAACAUUAAGCCUUAUUUUCCCACAAAUGUACAGGGUUUUCUUCCUUUUUUUUUUUUUUUUUUUUGGGGGGGGGGGGGGGGGGUGCGGAUCACUCCCAGCUACUACAAUGCUCAGGCUGUUUUAUCUAGAAGUGGACCAGGGCAGCCCUGAAGGAAGCAGAAGUGGUGACCUGAUAGCAUUCCCAAAACACUCUCAGAUGCUGUACGGUGUUGCAGCUGCAGAUGCAUCCCACUCUUCCGUUUCAUCUUUAUGUUCAAAUUGGAAAUGAUACAUGGAAGAUAGUUCUUCACCAUGACACCAUUCCAGAUUUCAUAAUUCAUUCCCACUUAAAUGAAAAUAAAAACAUUAACAAAAUGAAAUUCUAUUAAAACAGCUGCUUCUAAAUUGAGGUUUGAUUCCAGACUGUAUAGUAUUGAUCAGAGGAUUUGAGUAUGCCUCAGAAACGUUCUUGAGGAAAAUGUUGUUGCAAAUGGAAUGUUUCAGCUUUUACAGGUUGUGUAAAAAUUUUUACAAUCAUCCAGUUGUUGAAACAGCUACAUAUUCCUUUGUUAUUUACUGAAUUCCUUCUUUGUCACCUUAGUAACAUUUAGAAAGGAAAUGCUUGCUAUUAGUAUCACUUCUUUGUCUAUGUUUUGUUUCUCUGACUUUGUUUUCUGCCUUUUCUGUCUCUGUCCUACUUCCUUUUUCUUCCAUUAGCAUUUCCUCACCUUUAGUAACUUUCUAUUCCUACCAUGUAGGCUUCCUUCAUGUCCCAAACCCCGUGCUAAAAGCCUAAAUCCGUAGUAAUUAAGUACCUCGUUAAAACUGCCUUUGAAAUACCCUCAUUGUUUUCAGUAUUGAAACUACAACAAAACAAAAAAGCGUAGGCAGGUUUAUCAGUCACCCCCAUUAUAAGUGGCUGUUUUAAGACUGAAAGAAAUGUUCUGCAUUAGUUCCCCAUUUGUUCAUAGGUGGAUGAUGAUGCAGUUGUUUGAUCCAGUUGUUUCAAGUACAUAACAUGAACUGAACUUCCAUUACUCAGGAGAGCUCUGGUGUUGCAGCAUUGGUGUUGGACAGAGGAGGACAUUUGUCAGGUGCUUAUCUAGUUGAUUAUAUGGAAGUUGCUGCAUGGAUUAUAAAUAAGUUUGCUGCAAUUACAGGAGAAAAAAAUUAAAGCUGUUUGCUGGUAGUGUCUGAUUUAACAGAAAUUACAUAUCUUCCUGUCUAGAAGGUGAUUCAGGAAUUCCAAAUGCAUGGAUGCUAUUCUAAUACCAUGUUUCAGCCUACAGAAUGAACUGCACCCACAAGAUUGAUAUGUAAUGAAAUGUCACCUCAAGUUAUAUGGAAUUUUAAGGAGUUGUGAAGGUGUCCCAGAGGAAUUACAAGCAAAAUUUAUACAUCAUGCUCAUGGUAAAUCUCAAGUUGUCACAACAAACCAACAAUUACAGGACAAGCACUGGUGGCCAGAACUCGACAUGAAGGACUGAAGCUUAAUACUAAACUCACUUAGCAAAAUUAAGACAAGUGACUCAUGCAGUACCAUUGCAGCCUGCCCCUUAUGUUUUUUUCUCCAUGAAUGACUGACAUCACAGCCCCUUUGGGCAGUUACUGUAGCUAUCUAGCUAUCUUUCAGUGAUAGACAACAUCAUAAAAUGACCAAACAGAGCAUUUACAUUGUGUGACAUCUGCUGCUAUAAUCAUUUUCUUGUCUGUUUUCAGCCAAGAGUGAAAGCUGUAAGAAUUAGUACCAUUUAAAUUCUUACAAUGUGCAAUUUUUUCUGGGAAUAUAUAUAAAAGGUCAUCAUCAAGUUACCUUAAAGCUGAUGAAGAACUAGAAUGUUGAGGUGAAUUUUGAAAGAGAUUUCACGGCUAACCUGGGAAAAAAAGCUUGGAAGACCUUCUCAAUGGACUAAUUACAAAUUUAAGGAGUAACAUACCAUGUAAUCACAUAAAUAAUUUCCUAAACUAAUGCCUGGAGAGCUACACACACUGAGUUAAAUGUUGCUAGGUUGAGGAUCUAUAAACCUGCCGUGGUAGCACAAUCAGAUACAAAAUACACAGUCCAACAGCAUCAAAAUUGAUAAAGAUCAUUGUGGUACUAAGGAUCUGUGAUUCAAAUUUGGCUUUGUAAGCGCAAAACCCUGGAAUCCUCUGAAAAGGGGAGUUGGAGUUUAUGUUGUCUCCCAAGCUCGUUGUGGGAAAAGGACUACAUACAUAUAUCUUUGGGAUAAGUACACACCUGCUUGCACCUGCUUGCCAAGGGCAACUUAGAAAUAUUUUGAAUCGUUUGUGCAUAAUAGAUUGCUUUCCCUUACCUUCUCUGCAUUGCAAGACAAAUGAACGAGAUAGUCUGGUCAGCCUUCUGCUAGCUGCAGAUAACUAUCUGCACACAUCAGAAACUUUUAGACAAUAACAAAAAAAUGGCACAGAGAUAAAAUGUUUGUUUAUUAACACCACAGACUUCUGAAAAAGAAUACAGUCGAUGCAGUAUUGGUGAUAAACGGCAGAGGGCAUUUCUCAGAUGCACUGAUGCAAAAAAGCAAGUUCAGUCUGGGGAAUCUCUUUGUGUGUCUAGUCUAGGCUCUUGCAGUAGCCAUGGCGGUGGUUUUUUCUCCUUUGCUGCUCCUUUAUGGCUAUGGAAACAACCAUCAGUUAUACCACACGACAAAUGAUACUUCAGCACAAGGCAAUAAACAACUCUGGUUUAGGCGUAUUAUAUUACAUUUCUCUAUUUGAGCUGUGCUGACUCUGCAAGAACAAUAACCAUCUUCUCUCCUGAAGUUAGCAGAGGAAUCUACGCAUGCUUGGAGCAACUCUGCUGAUUAAGGCCCUGGCUCUGCAGGAGACCCCAUUCACACCAAUACUUGCAGCAUCAGUGCCAUUUUACAUAAUGACUUAUAUUAGCUAUUUAAUUCUAAAAAUUACAAAAGCCAAAUAAAAUAGUUAUUAAAAUGA